rnacentral:rRNA from 1 species
ACGGAAGGCGCAGUGGGGAAUAUUGCACAAUGGGGGAAACCCUGAUGCAGCGACGCCGCGUGAGCGAUGAAGUAUUUCGGUAUGUAAAGCUCUAUCAGCAGGGAAGAUAAUGACGGUACCUGACUAAGAAGCCCCGGCUAACUACGUGCCAGCAGCCGCGGUAAUACGUAGGGGGCAAGCGUUAUCCGGAUUUACUGGGUGUAAAGGGAGCGCAGGCGGUUUUUUAAGUCUGAUGUGAAAGCCCGUGGCUCAACUGCGGGACUGCAUUGGAAACUGGAGAACUAGAGUGUCGGAGGGGCAAGUGGAAUUCCUAGUGUAGCGGUGAAAUGCGUAGAUAUUAGGAGGAACACCAGUGGCGAAGGCGGCUUACUGGACUGUAACUGACGUUGAGGCUCGAAGGCGUGGGGAGCAAACAGGAUUAGAUACCCUGGUA